GCAGGCGGGGAUUCUGGGCUACCAACGCGUGGUGGCGGAUCUGCACGCUGAGCUGGUGCCAUCCCAUGAAAACUUGCAGAGCUUGCACGCACAGCUGCAGGAUCUGCAAGUGCGGCAACAGCAGAGCGAGGCGAAGCUCAUUGACCGGAAUUGGCAGCUGGAAUCUCUGCAGGCAGAGAUUCAGUGGUAUGAACGUGUGGUGGUGGAGCUGCACGCCGAGUUGGCGCCCUACCGCGACAACAGGAAGAGCGCACACUCAGAGCAGCAGCGUCUGCAGAGCGAGGUGGAGCUUCCUACGGUUGAGGAAGAGGACAUCUCUGGCUGCUCACUGGAGCCCGGCGUUCAAGAAGCCUCCCAAGACCUGCCCCCCAAGGCCUCCAACACCCUCGGCGCCUCUCACAUUGACUAACACACACAUAUCGACUGACACACACACACACACAUAUUGACUUACAAAUACACAUCGACUCACACACACGCAUGGAACUAAACACAAACAUGGACUUACACACACACACCGACUCACACACACACAUGCACUUACACACACAAUUACAUACGGACUUAUACACACACAUAUCGACUAAGACACACACACGUGGACUUACACACACACAUGGACCCCCGCACACACAUCGACUGACACACACACAUCGACUCACACACACACACUGCCCUACACACACAUACACAUAUGGACUCACACACACAGACAUCGACUUUAGAUACACACACAUGGAGUUACACACAAAGACAAAGAUCCCCCGUAUAGCCUUAACAGACUGUAGGGGCAAGUGCUGUUAGCGAGCACCUAUAAAGGCCGGAACGGCACACGAGGGGGUGGGUGGCCAGCAUCACGCCCGACCGCCUUUGUCUCCCCAGUGGCGAUGUUUAUGCACCGCACCAGGUACUCAUUUUAGGCUGAGUCGACCUAGGGGAGGCCCAGGACUGGUUCAGAUAAUUGUCACUGGUGUUGGCCGUGAGCGGGAAUCGAACCCGGGUUGCAGGUUCAUAGCGCAGCGCGCUAACUGCUACACUACCGCUCCCCACACAAAUAGACAAAUAUCCCCCGUGUAGCCUUAACAGACUGUAGGGGCAAGUGCUGUUAGCGAGCACCUAUGAAGGCAGGCACGGCACACGAGGGGGUGGGUGGCCAACACCACGCCCGGCCGCCUUUAUCUCCCUAGUGGCGAUGUUUACACACCGCACCAGGUACUCAUUUUAGGCUGAGUCGACCUAGGGGAGGCCCAGGACCGGUUCUGAUAACCAUCACCGGUAUUGGCCAUGAGCGGAAAUCGAACUCGGGUCGCCGGGUUCACAGCGCAGCGCGCUAACCGCUACACUACCACUCCCCACACACACACAUAAACGUACACACACACAUCGACUCACACACAUAUGGACUCAUCACACACACAUAUACACAUCGACGUACACACAUAUCGACUGACACAUAUGUAAUAUUGCUCGCAGAGACGGUGUCGUCUCUUCUGUUUGUUUAUUAUCAA